rnacentral:misc_RNA from 1 species
GAAAAGAAGGCAAAGAAGGCAGAAGUGAUGGCCAAAACACAGAAGACACAGGGCAAAGCUAACGUUUCUAGGGGAGCUGCUCCGAAAGGACCAAAGCUUGGUGGUGGCGGUGGCAAACGUUGAACUCUUUAUGCUGUAAGCUAAGAAGAGUAGUAUGCUUUGAUGGUCUUUUAAAUAGCAAGCCUGAGUAAAAGAUAAUGUUUGAUUAUUUCCAAAAUUUUGAAUGGAUGAAUUAUUGUGGUUUACAUUUUUCUUGCAGUUAUGUUACAAAUAUC